rnacentral:rRNA from 1 species
GCAAAUCAAUAUAAAUUGAUUAAUAUUUAUUUAUUUAUUUAUUUUAUUUUUUACUGUAAGUUAUUAAAAAUAAUUUUAUAAUUUAGUGUUUUAGUAGUUUUUAAUGAAAAAAUAAUAUUAAUAAUAGUGUAUUAUGUAUUGUGAAAGGUAAUUGAAAUAUUUUGAAAAAUUUUUAAUGAAAAAGAAAAUUUAGUUUAUUGUACCUUGUGUAUCAGGGUUUAUCAAAUAAUUAAUAAUUAUUUAUUAAUCUCGAUUUUAUAAGAGUUAAUAAUUUAUGGAAGUUAAUGUUUUAAAAUUAUUUUUAAUAAAUUAUUAGAAAUGAAAUGUUAUUCGUUUAUAAAGGUAUCUAGUUUUUUUAGAAAUAAAUUUAAUUUACAAAUUUUUAAUUUUUUAUUUAUUUAUUUAAUUAAUAAAUUUAUUAAUUUGAAUAUCUUAAGGGAUAAGCUUUAAGAUAAAUUAUUAAAAAUUAAUGAAUAUUAUGUAAAAUGUAUGUAUAGAAUUAGCAGUCAUUAGUAAGUUUGUUAUAAAUUAUUUUAUGAUUAUAUUAUUUAUUAAUAUUUUAAUUUUUUUAUAAAAAUGAUUUUAUUAAUUUUUAGUAAAAUAUAAUAAUGAUAGAAUUAGUAUAUUUUAUUGUUUAAUUAUUUUUUUUAUGAUAGGUUUAUGUAAAGAACUCGGCAAAUAGUAUACUCGCCUGUUUAACAAAAACAUGUCUUUUUGAGUUAUUUUUAAAGUUUAACCUGCCCACUGAAUAAUUUUGAAUGGCNGCAGUAUUUUAACUGUGCAAAGGUAGCAUAAUCAUUAGUCUUUUAAUUGAAGGCUGGUAUGAAUGGUUGGACGAAGUAUAGACUGUUUCAUAUAAAUUUAUGGUAGAAUUUUAUAUUUUAGUUAAAAAGCUAAAAUUUUAUUAAAAGACGAGAAGACCCUAUAAAUCUUUAUAUUUAUUUCUUUUUAGAUUUUUUAGAUAUAUUUUAUUUUUAUAGUAAUAAAUAUUUUAUUGGGGUGAUAUUAAAAUUUAAUAAACUUUUAAUUAUUUAAAAUCAUUAAUUUAUGAUUUAUUGAUCCAUUAAUAGUGAUUAUAAGAUGAAGUUACUUUAGGGAUAACAGCGUAAUUUUUUUUGAGAGUUCUUAUCGAUAAAAAAGUUUGCGACCUCGAUGUUGGAUUAAGGUAUAUUUUUAGGUGUAGCUGCUUAAAUAUUAAGUCUGUUCGACUUU